rnacentral:rRNA from 1 species
UACGUAGGGGGCAAGCGUUGUCCGGAAUCAUUGGGCGUAAAGAGCGUGUAGGCGGCCCGGUAAGUCCGCUGUGAAAGUCCAGGGCUCAACCCUGGGAUGCCGGUGGAUACUGUCGGGCUCGAGUCCGGAAGAGGAGUGUGGAAUUCCUGGUGUAGCGGUGAAAUGCGCAGAUAUCUGGAGGAACACCGGUGGCGAAGGCGACAUCCUGGACCGGUAUUGACGCUGAGGCGCGAAAGCCAGGGGAGCAAACGGG